GUGCGUUUUUCCAAUCCAGAUUGCCGCUCAAACCCUAAGCGCUCAAUGUGUGGUUUUGGUGUGAAUCUCUGCUCCCUUUGCCAGGUAAAGAACACACAUUUGUUAUAUACAAUGAUGGAAGUGAUGCUGAUCGGCUUGUUGAGUUGGUUCUGGCUCAGGGAAUGAUGCAUACUACUCUCUGCAUACUCAUAUGAACCGUUCCUUGCUCAGCGGUCAGGUUGCCUUGGCAGUUUAUUAGCUGAGUGAAGAAAUCGGCAAAAAGCAUACCGGUUGUUGCGACCUGAUAUAUCUCAUGAGCACGCACAUAUGUAGCUUUUGCGUCACGGAUUUUAAGGUGAUAGGGUGGUCAAUGUGGUUUUCUGAGUGUAUAUUUUCAGAAGGAAGUUGGUAUUGAUGAAUAUUAUACAAUCAGAUCUUCAAUGACUAAAGGACUUCCCUCAGUCCUUUUGGUUAACUGUUUUUAUAAAAGGAACUUGUUUCACCAGGGAGAGCUUAUAGAUGCACAGAUGCUUCCUUUCCCUGGCAAUGUUUCCAGUCCUCUUUCUAAGGUACAAUUAUGUUUUCUAAUAUACUGCUUUAGAAAAACAGUUAUUUCCCUUUCCAAUUUCUGGCUGGUUAAUUGAACGCCGCAGCACCAUAAAAGCAUUUGGCAUUCCAGAAUCCCGCUAUACAGCAGGUCCCAUUUCUCCAUUUACAUGUUUUGAGUCCUCGUACUAAGGUGCAACUCCUUGGAAUGUCCUUUUCAUUUUCUGGCUGGUUGGUUCAAUUCCCCAUCACAGUAAACAUAUAUAGCAUUCCAGAAUCCAGCUUUACAAAAGAACCCAUUACUGCCUGUUACAUGGAUCUAGCUAUCUAAACUUAUUGUUGCUAUCAGGAUUUUGUCUGUGCAGUAAGACAUGCACGUACUCUCUUUUGUU